CAGCCGCCGCGGUAAUACGAAGGGUGCAAGCGUUACUCGGAAUUACUGGGCGUAAAGCGUGCGUAGGUGGUGGUUUAAGUCCGUUGUGAAAGCCCUGGGCUCAACCUGGGAAUUGCAGUGGAUACUGGGUCACUAGAGUGUGGUAGGGGAUAGUGGAAUUUCCGGUGUAGCAGUGAAAUGCGUAGAGAUCGGAAGGAACAUCUGUGGCGAAGGCGACUAUCUGGGACAACACUGACGCUGAGGCACGAAAGCGUGGGGAGCAAACAGGAUUAGAUACCCCUGUAGUCCCUGUCUCUUAUAC
rnacentral:rRNA from 1 species